rnacentral:lncRNA from 1 species
GGACACCAGUCUUGUGACGCACUCCAAGGAUCCUGGAUCCAGAAGCGUGGGAUGGUCAUCAAAACUCAGAGCCAGCCGACCCAUCACGCAGGCGCAGCGAUCGUUGACUGGGCAGCGAACGAAGCAAUUCCGGGCUUGGGCACCGGUCACAUGGCAUAUAAUAAAUACCGGAAACAGUACUGUACUCAGAGGCUAAGGGAACUUCAGAAACUUCCAGUACUGUCCCUGAGCGAUCUUUAAUACCUCGUCCUCGUUAGUAUAGUG